UUUGUGUUUGGGAUCGCCGGCUGGGAGCAGGCGGGUGUGGGGUGGUGAGCAACUGUAUUGUUCAUUACCCGUUUAUACUGUCACCGUAUUAUUCUACUAUUGUUAUUCAACUGUUUUUAUCUCAACCUGCGAGUCUCCCUUUGCCCCUCUGAUUCCCUCUCUAUUCCCAAAUGGGGGA